CAGACUCCAGGGUGCAUGGGCUUCAGAAGUUGUGGAGCAUGGACUUAAUUGCCCUGCGACAUGUGGGAUCUUCCUGGACCAGGAAUGGAACCCAUGUCUCCUGCUUUGACAGUGGAUUCUUUACCACUGGACCACCAGGGAAGUC